UACGGAGGGGGCUAGCGUUGUUCGGAAUUACUGGGCGUAAAGCGCACGUAGGCGGCUUUGCAAGUUAGAGGUGAAAGCCCAGGGCUUAACCCUGGAAUUGCCUUUAAAACUGCAUCGCUAGAAUCGUGGAGAGGUAAGUGGAAUUCCGAGUGUAGAGGUGAAAUUCGUAGAUAUUCGGAAGAACACCAGUGGCGAAGGCGACUUACUGGACACGUAUUGACGCUGAGGUGCGAAAGCGUGGGGAGCAAACAGG
rnacentral:rRNA from 2 species